CCAUUUGUGUAGUGGUAGUGGUUGGACUACAACUCUAGAGACCAGGGUUCAAGUCCCCGCUUGAGCA